ACCAGACUCCUACGGGAGGCAGCAGUGGGGGAUAUUGCACAAUGGGGGAAACCCUGAUGCAGCGACGCCGCGUGUGGGAAGACGGUCCUCUGGAUUGUAAACCACUGUCCCCAGGGACGAAGAUGACGGUACCUGACUAAGAAGCCCCGGCUAACUACGUGCCAGCAGCCGCGGUAAUACGUAGGGGGCAAGCGUUAUCCGGAUUUACUGGGUGUAAAGGGAGCGUAGGCGGUUCAGCAAGUCAGAAGUGAAAGCCCGGGGCUCAACUCCGGGACUGCUUUUGAAACUGUUGAACUAGAUUGCAGGAGAGGUAAGUGGAAUUCCUAGUGUAGCGGUGAAAUGCGUAGAUAUUAGGAGGAACACCAGUGGCGAAGGCGGCUUACUGGACUGUAAAUGACGCUGAGGCUCGAAAGCGUGGGGAGCAAACAGGAUUAGAUACCCCGGUAC
rnacentral:rRNA from 1 species